AGGCCCAAGCGACUGUUUACCAAAAACAUAGGUUUCUGCUAAGUCGCAAGACGAUGUAUAGGAGCUGACGCCUGCCCGGUGCUGGAAGGUUAAGGGGAUCUGUUAGAGCAAUCGAAGCAGUGAACUUAAGCCCCAGUAAACGGCGGCCGUAACUAUAACGGUCCUAAGGUAGCGAAAUUCCUUGUCGGGUAAGUUCCGACCCGCACGAAAGGCGUAACGAUUUGGGCACUGUCUCAACAACAGACUCGGUGAAAUUGUAAUUCCGGUGAAGAUGCCGGAUACCUGCGACAGGACGGAAAGACCCCAUGGAGCUUUACUGUAGCUUGACAUUGGGUCUUGGUACUACAUGUACAGGAUAGGUGGGAGGCUUUGAAACCAGGACGCCAGUUUUGGCGGAGCCAUCCUUGGGAUACCACCCUUGUAGUACUGGGACUCUAACCAUAGGCCAUGAAUCUGGUCUUGGGACACUGUCAGGUGGGCAGUUUGACUGGGGCGGUCGCCUCCCAAAAGGUAACGGAGGCGCUCAAAGGUUCUCUCAGUACGGUCGGAAAUCGUACGUAGAGUGUAAAGGCAAAAGAGAGCUUGAUUGCAAGACAUACAGGUCGAGCAAGGAUGAAAAUCGGACUUAGUGAUCCGGUGGUUCUGCGUGGAAGGGCCAUCGCUCAACGGAUAAAAGCUACCCUGGGGAUAACAGGCUUAUCUCCCCCAAGAGUCCACAUCGACGGGGAGGUUUGGCACCUCGAUGUCGGCUCAUCACAUCCUGGGGCUGUAGUAGGUCCCAAGGGUUGGGCUGUUCGCCCAUUAAAGUGGUACGCGAGCUGGGUUCAGAACGUCGUGAGACAGUUCGGUCCCUAUCCGUCGCAGGCGUAGGAAAUUUGAGAAGACCUGUCCUUAGUACGAGAGGACCGGGAUGGACGUACCUCUGGUGUACCAGUUGUCCUGCCAAGGGCAUGGCUGGGUAGCUAUGUACGGAAUGGAUAAGCGCUGAAAGCAUCUAAGCGCGAAGCCAACUUCAAGAUAAGAUUUCCCACCGCAAGGGUAAGACCCCAGAAAGACUAUCUGGUUGAUAGGUCGAAGGUGUAAGUGCAGCAAUGUAUUUAGCUUAUCGAUACUAAUAG
rnacentral:rRNA from 1 species